UACAGAGGGUGCGAGCGUUAAUCGGAAUUACUGGGCGUAAAGCGUGCGCAGACGGUCACGUAAGUCGGGUGUGAAAGCCCCGGGCUCAACCUGGGAAUUGCAUUCGAGACUGCGUGGCUAGGGUGCGGAAGAGGGAAGCGGAAUUUCCGGUGUAGCGGUGAAAUGCGUAGAUAUCGGAAGGAACACCAGUGGCGAAAGCGGCUUCCUGGUCCAGCACAGACGUUCAGGCACGAAAGCGUGGGGAGCAAACAGG
rnacentral:rRNA from 1 species